rnacentral:miRNA from 1 species
UAGUGAUCAGUUGGAAGUCAG